GGGUCAGUAGCCCAAUUGGCAGAGGCAAGGGACUUAAAAUCCCUACAGUACGGGUUCGAGUCCCGUCUGACCCA
rnacentral:tRNA from 1 species